ensembl:snRNA U6 U6 spliceosomal RNA
GUGCUCACUUCAGCAGCACAUAGAAAAAAAAAUUGAAAAAAUACAGAGAAGAUUAUCAUGACCUCUGAGCAAGGGUGACACAGAAAUUCGUGAAGCAUUCCAUAUUUUU